rnacentral:rRNA from 13 species
ACAGCUCACUGGUCUAAAUAAGGGGUUUUGCGCCGAAAAUGUACCGGGGCUAAAGCCAUGCACCGAAGCUGAGGAUGUGCAGUUUACUGCACGUGGUAGCGGAGCGUUCUGUAAGUCUGUGAAGGGAGACCCGUGAGGGCUCCUGGAGAUAUCAGAAGUGCGAAUGUUGACAUGAGUAACGAUAAAGGGAGUGAGAGACUCCCUCGCCGAAAGACCAAGGGUUCC